AUCCAGCCAUGCCGCGUGUGUGAAGAAGGUCUUCGGAUUGUAAAGCACUUUAAGUUGGGAGGAAGGGCAGUAAAUUAAUACUUUGCUGUUUUGACGUUACCGACAGAAUAAGCACCGGCUAACUCUGUGCCAGCAGCCGCGGUAAUACAGAGGGUGCAAGCGUUAAUCGGAAUUACUGGGCGUAAAGCGCGCGUAGGUGGUUUGUUAAGUUGGAUGUGAAAUCCCCGGGCUCAACCUGGGAACUGCAUCCAAAACUGGCAAGCUAGAGUAUGGUAGAGGGUGGUGGAAUUUCCUGUGUAGCGGUGAAAUGCGUAGAUAUAGGAAGGAACACCAGUGGCGAAGGCGACCACCUGGACUGAUACUGACACUGAGGUGCGAAAGCGUGGGGAGCAAACAGGAUUAGAUACCCUG
rnacentral:rRNA from 1 species